CAUGUUCCAGCAGGCCUGGCUCCUGCAGGGGGACACCCUCCCUGCAGCCUUGCUCCUACCCGACGCAGCAUCCACCUCCGUUCAGGGACAUUGAUGGACUCUGGCUGUAUUCAGGGUGCUGAGUGGGCAUUGGAACUGGCCAGAUUCCCACAGGAAUAAUCCAGUUUCCAUCCGGGUGGGUCUUUCUACUAAUUACCAGAGAAAGAGCCCAAUGUCAUAAGGGACCCUGGGACAGAGAAAGGACAUUCAUUGGAGAAAAAAAAAUGACUGGUGAAACCCACAUAAAGUGCCGGUUUAGACGACACUGAUGGUGGUCACGGCUGCGGCCGGUCAGCCCUGCAGAAGCCCCAGCGCCGGCGCCUUGGUUGGGUCAGAUCAGGCUCAUUUCCCGUGGUUGUCACCACAAAGGGUCACAACCCGGAUGAUCUGGGCCACACCAGAUCUGCUUACUACAGAAACAGCCCCCGUUUUUUAUCUUACAGUACCGGGAAGAAGUCCUAGGCCCAGGUGUGGCAGGGAGAGGCCCGUCCCCUCCUCCAGCUCCAAGGCCAGCAGCAGAGCAUCCUCCAGCCCUCUGACCCUGACCCUCCUGCCUCCUCUCAGGAGGACCCUGUGGUGACCCUGGGUGACCCCUGCUCAGGGGUCACCUCCCCUGAUCCCCCCUCAGAGCCCCUUCUCCCCACCGCCCGGGCAGGUGCCGUGGCCUCAGGUUCUGGGGAUCAGGACGUGAGUGUCUUUGGGGUGGAGGCCUCAUCGUCCUGCCCACUGAGGGUGCACAGGGACACUGGAG
rnacentral:lncRNA from 1 species